GACCCCUAUAUGCAACAGGGACAAUAUCUGAUCUGAUUUUAUUGUAUCUACCCCAGCACAUAACGUACAGUGUUGGGCGCAAGAUUGCAAGUACCUUGGGGGUCAAGGAUCAUGUCUAACUCUCAACCAUGUAUUUGCAAGAGUUGAAAUGGAUGGAAGCUGAAAGAAACAAACCCACAUAUCAGAAAGCAAAGAGACAAGGAGGAACAUGGGCAGUUUGGGGAAGAGAAGCAGUUUGCCAAGAUUAUUUGAUCAAACACUCUUCAGACAUUAGAAAUCCAAGCCAGUAGAAAUUGAAGGUCAACAUUUCAUGAAGCAAGUGUCAUAACAGGAUAGAAAUAUUAUGUUCUCUUUGUAGCUUGCUAAGUCUGUACAUUUCAUCAAAGGAAUAAGUGCCUUUCUCACCAGCUAUUAAAAUA